rnacentral:lncRNA from 1 species
UCAGUUUUUGAGCUGCUAUGUCAGAUUUUGUACUGUCACAUUAGCUUGACACAUUCUUCCAUAUUUUCUUUUGAGUUGUUAUAUCAACUUUUGAUAUAUUACAUCAGCUUUUAAGCUUCUAUGAUAGCUCCUGAUCUGCCACAUCAGUCUCUGUAUUGCUAUGUUAGCUCCUGAUCUAUCACUUUAGUCUUUGAGCUGCUACAUCAGCUUCUAAUCUACCACUACG